CCUAUAGAAUCUCUACUGAUAUCAGUUAUCCAAAUUUUUCUGCUGUUAUUUAUGAGAAGUAUGCUUUCAGCUGCAACAAUUUUUACAUCAAAGAUCCAUCCUGCCAUCAGAGAAGAAGAUUCUGUACAUAGUUAUUCAUGCCCUCUUAAAUAUUUUGAUGGCCUUGCUACUUCCUGACAUCAAACAAGGUGGUAUAUACCAGUUCUAAGCUGCCACUGGCAACCAGGUCCUGAGGAAUUCUUACUGCCUCUUUGGAACAGUCAAAGAGUCGAUUGUAAAGUUCAUGAUCACUAUUGCUGCCUAAUGUCAUAAUGAGGUAAGUGCUGUGUGCUGCUACUGGAGAUACUUUCGAAACCUGGAAUGGUAUUUGAAACCUGAAACUAUGUUGAUUUGGGUAAUGAAUGGUUUGACCAGCAAUCAUGAUGGAUUCCAUUGUUUCUAUUACUGAAGGUGAUGGAGACCAUGAUCAUAAGGAUGAUCUCUGCUGCUGUUUAAGCAUCAAUUAUGAAAUGCAUGGUCAGAACUUCUGCC